CCUACGGGAGGCAGCAGUGAGGAAUAUUGGUCAAUGGGCGCGAGCCUGUACCAGCCAAGUAGCGUGAAGGAUGACUGCCCUACGGGUUGUAAACUUCUUUUGCCGGGGAGCAACGGGCGCCACGUGUGGCGUCACUGAGAGUACCCGGAGAAAAAGCAUCGGCUAACUCCGUGCCAGCAGCCGCGGUAAUACGGAGGAUGCGAGCGUUAUCCGGAUUUAUUGGGUUUAAAGGGUGCGUAGGCGGAUCGUUAAGUCAGUGGUCAAAUUGAGGGGCUCAACCCCUUCCCGCCAUUGAAACUGGCGUUCUUGAGUGGAAGAGAAGUAUGCGGAAUGCGUGGUGUAGCGGUGAAAUGCAUAGAUAUCACGCAGAACCCCGAUUGCGAAGGCAGCAUGCCGGCUUCCGACUGACGCUGAAGCACGAAAGCGUGGGGAUCGAACAGGAUUAGAUACCCGAGUAGUC
rnacentral:rRNA from 1 species